GAUGAACGCUGGCGGCGUGCUUAACACAUGCAAGUCGAACGGAAAGGCUCCUGCUUGCAGGGGUACUCGAGUGGCGAACGGGUGAGUAACACGUGGGUGAUCUGCCCUGCACUUCGGGAUAAGCCUGGGAAACUGGGUCUAAUACCGGAUAGGACCGCAUUUUGGAUGGUGUGGUGGAAAGUUUUUCGGUGUGGGAUGAGCUCGCGGCCUAUCAGCUUGUUGGUGGGGUAGUGGCCUACCAAGGCGUCGACGGGUAGCCGGCCUGAGAGGGUGUACGGCCACAUUGGGACUGAGAUACGGCCCAGACUCCUACGGGAGGCAGCAGUGGGGAAUAUUGCACAAUGGGCGCAAGCCUGAUGCAGCGACGCCGCGUGGGGGAUGACGGCCUUCGAGUUGUAAACUGCUUUCGCUAGGGACGAAGCGCAAGUGACGGUACCUGGAGAAGAAGCACCGGCUAACUACGUG
rnacentral:rRNA from 1 species